UGAGGAAUUUUGGUCAAUGGGCGAAAGCCUGAACCAGCAACGCCGCGUGAAGGAUGAAGGCCCUCGGGUCGUAAACUUCUUUUAGGGGAGAAGAGAAAGGACGGUAUCCCCUGAAUAAGCCACGGCAAACUACGUGCCAGCAGCCGCGGUAAAACGUAGGUGGCGAGCGUUAUCCGGAUUUACUGGGCGUAAAGCGCUUGUAGGUGGUUUUGUAAGUUGGGCGUGAAAUCUCUGGGCUUAACUUGGAGAGGCCGUCCAAUACUGCGAGGCUAGAGGUUAUUCGAGGAAAGUGGAAUUCCUGGUGUAGUAGUGAAAUGCGUAGAUAUCAGGAGGAACACCCGUGGCGAAGGCGGCUUUCUAGGAUAUACCUGACACUGAGAAGCGACAGCUAGGGGAGCAAACAG
rnacentral:rRNA from 1 species